rnacentral:rRNA from 1 species
GAUGAACGCUGGCGGCGUGCCUAAUACAUGCAAGUCGAGCGAACGGACGAGAAGCUUGCUUCUCUAAUGUUAGCGGCGGACGGGUGAGUAACACGUGGAUAACCUACCUAUAAGACUGGGAUAACUUCGGGAAACCGGAGCUAAUACCGGAUAAUAUUUUGAACCGCAUGGUUCAAAAGUGAAAGACGGUCUUGCUGUCACUUAUAGAUGGAUCCGCGCUGCAUUAGCUAGUUGGUAAGGUAACGGCUUACCAAGGCAACGAUGCAUAGCCGACCUGAGAGGGUGAUCGGCCACACUGGAACUGAGACACGGUCCAGACUCCUACGGUAGGCAGCAGUAGGGAAUCUUCCGCAAUGGGCGAAAGCCUGACGGAGCAACGCCGCGUGAGUGAUGAAGGUCUUCGGAUCGUAAAACUCUGUUAUUAGGGAAGAACAUAUGUGUAAGUAACUGUGCACAUCUUGACGGUACCUAAUCAGAAAGCCACGGCUAACUACGUG